ACCACCUAGACGGGAUUGGAAUGAAGGAAUUAGAUCUGGGAUAUGGGAAAAAUUGAUGGAAGCUGGAGAACCGAGAGAGAAAUGGGACAGGAAACCCACUACUGAAUUGAUUAAAAGUUUGGCUGAAAUAAUAAAACAGCAAGAGGAUGCAGCUUGUGCAUUGGCACAGAACCAGGCAGCACCGCAAGCAUGUGCAAGAGUCCUGAAAGGAUUGAAGAUUCUACGGAAAAGAUUGGACCAAACAGAUGAGACACAAUGUGCGUGAAGUGUUGUUGCUGUUUGUUCUUUUUUGUUUUGCUGUUUGUCCUGUUUUUCUUUUGGAUCGUACCACCACCGGAAGUUCCAAUGGCAACACAUACGUCGCACCUGAUCAGCAAGCUGAUUCAAAUAAUGGAUCCGGAGUGACGGACACACUUGUUUCAUAUACUUUGAAAUGGGCUCAAUUACCCGAUACAUGGAGUUGUGUUUGGAAUCUGGAAAAUGUGAAACGAGUUACCCAAGAGACUCGAGUGAGUGGGAUAAAUUGUGGAGAAUCACCACAGGAGCUAUGGGAACACCUCGAAGGACGGGAUACAUUCCUAUUUUUACACUUACGGGGUUUAAUGGAACUCAGAUGGCUGAGAAAUGGCAAAAUCUCAACAGUACGUUAUUGACUCCAUCCGGUAGAGAAUUUAUUAUAAAUGGAACUUGCCAACAGACGAUAUGGAAGUUAGAUACUACUGAGAUUGGCGAAUGGGGUCCGCCGCAAUGGGAUGUACAACUAGAUGGCAGCCAAUGUAACCGUCAACAGCCAUUCAUAACAUUUCGAUAUCAGCGCCAUCGACAAUUUUCAUCCGUUCCUGCAGAAGCUGGUAUUUAUCGAUUGCAGCAACCAGGGAAAGUUCUUCAAUUUGAAGUAUUAGCAGGGGAAAAUGAUUUGAUAAAACCACGGAAACAUCCUUUGAUUGGUCCACAUGUCGUGAAAAAGGACCAUAAGAUGAGAGCAAUGCUAACUCCGGUUCGUUCUUUGAAGGAAAUCAGAUUGGAUCUGACAGGAUUAAACAUAUCUCAAGCAGUUCCAGAAUGUGCUCCAUAUGUUACAACAAGCCAUGAAGGAUGGAAAAACUGGAUAGAUUUAUGGUAUACAGCUCAGCUGGCAAAGACUCGUUUCGCCAGAGGACUGGACACUAUAUUGGGAGCAUCAGGUUUAGCAGCUGGAGCAUUGGACGCAAUGGACAUAGAAGUGCUAGCUAACAAGAUUAGUUACACUACUGCAGAUAUAAAGAAAAUGGGAACUCCAAUUGCUUCAUCAUUGGUUAAGUUAGGCAUAGGACAGAAGAUGAUA